rnacentral:lncRNA from 1 species
CACAGCUCCAGGAUCUUGACGCAGUCGUCGUCGCUCCAGAAGUGCAGGACGAGCUUGAGCAUGACAGCCUGCGCAGGCGGGAUGGUGAUGGUCUUGGUCGUCGUCUCCUCGACGACCCUGGGAAGGUUGAGCACGGUGCACUUGAUGUCUGGGAAGGCCUUGACGAUGGCGGCCGCGCUGGCGUUCCCCUGCCUGCCGCAGCAGUAGGUGAGCGAGCGGAGGCCGCUGAAGACGUCGGCGCCGCACUCCCGUAUGA